GUUGACCCCGUGUAUUCUAUCGUGGAAAGGGAGACGAGCGACGGAGGCUACGCAACGGCGGCGACCGGUGGCGGGGAAAGGCGACGGUGGCGGCAGCGGGGAAAAAACUAGCAGAUCAAGACGGCGCCGACGAGAUCCUCCUCCGGCGACUGGUCCCCGCUCGAGGUCCUCUAGCGGCGGUGGCGUGGUUUCCGGCGUUCGGCGGGCGAGCGCGCCAUGACUUCUAAUGUACUGUCAAACUGCAUGACAUUGAUUUUAUGGUGGAGGUUGCUCAUCCGUUGGGUGGAGCAUUUAUUUAUAUGUGUGUGCUUGUUCGAGAAGAUUGCAUAACAUAAUUGCAUGACACCGAGUUUAUGUUAAAGACAGAGUUUUUAAUUUACUGAUUAUCCAUUAUCACGUCUUGGGAUGCAAA